rnacentral:rRNA from 1 species
CUGCCUACGGGGGGCAGCAGUGGGGGAUAUUGCACAAUGGGGGAAACCCUGAUGCAGCGACGCCGCGUGAGUGAAGAAGUAUUUCGGUAUGUAAAGCUCUAUCAGCAGGGAAGAAAAAAGACGGUACCUGACUAAGAAGCCCCGGCUAACUACGUGCCAGCAGCCGCGGUAAUACGUAGGGGGCAAGCGUUAUCCGGAUUUAUUGGGUUUAAAGGGAGCGUAGGCCGGCUUUUAAGUCAGCUGUGAAAGUCCGCGGCUCAACCGUG